AAUAAUGAAGACCAAUUGAAAAGUUGCUUAGAAUUGGGCAUUCUAUAACAUAUCAAAAGUCCCUUUACUGAAUGGAAUUUUGUGUGCGACUGUGGUGCAGUUACUAAAUGCCCCCCUAAUAGCAUGCUUAUAAAGAAAAUUCUCAGAAGUGUAAAUGUUGUAUAUAGCUUCUCCUAUACUGGAAUGGGUGUAUAGAGAAGUACUGGGUGCCACAUGAGCAGUAAUAUAACACCAUUGGCAGAAAUAAUGCAAAGGAUUGUGGGAGUAUGACCCUGACCAAGCUGUCUUCUGGUCCCCCCGUGAUUCUCACACUCUUUUUUGAAGCCUCUGGGUAUUUCAGGUUAUACACCUAGCGCUGGCCCUGGCCCUGUGUAUCCGCUAAUAAGGGCCAUUAAUGUGCUCCGGGGAGAGAGUCAUGGCCGGCCAGGAAGGAAGCCAAACAGAACACAGAUAUGGAAAGCAGCCCCAAGGCAAAUGGAAUCUGCCAAAGACAUGAGUGUGUGUAGCGCAAGGUUGGUGUAGGACUUGCCAUGCUGAAUGCUGGUGGAGACAACACCGCAUUGGGCAUCUGGAGCAGAUGGUACAGGAAUUAUUGAUGAAUGAUAUGAGAUACAAGUUGA